GGGUUGUGAGGUUAAGCGACUAAGCGUACACGGUGGAUGCCCUGGCAGUCAGAGGCGAUGAAGGACGUGCUAAUCUGCGAUAAGCGUCGGUAAGGUGAUAUGAACCGUUAUAACCGGCGAUUUCCGAAUGGGGAAACCCAGUGUGUUUCGACACACUAUCAUUAACUGAAUCCAUAGGUUAAUGAG
rnacentral:rRNA from 2 species